rnacentral:tRNA from 1 species
GGCGAGGUGGCGGAAUGGUAGACGCUGAAAGCAAUAGAUCGUAACGUUUGGGAUCAUACACCCAUGGGAUUCUAAUUUGACACAACGAAAUCCGAAGAUGUGUAGUAGGAUGGUUUUUGUUGGCGCAGGUUCGAUUCCUGCCCUCGCUA